rnacentral:rRNA from 1 species
UACAGAGGGUGCGAGCGUUGUUCGGAAUUAUUGGGCGUAAAGGGCGCGUAGGCGGUGCGGUAAGUCACCUGUGAAAUCUCCUGGCUCAACUGGGAGCUUGCAGGCGAAACUGCCGUGCUGGAGUGUGGGAGAGGUGCGUGGAAUUCCUGGUGUAGCGGUGAAAUGCGUAGAUAUCAGGAGGAACACCUGUGGCGAAAGCGGCUUCCUGGUCCAGCACCGACGUUCAGGCACGAAAGCGUGGGGAGCAAACAGG